rnacentral:lncRNA from 1 species
GCUGGCACGCAAUGGUGGUGGGAUCUAGCAGAGGAUUGACCUCACCGCAACUCGAGGAUGUCCGGCCGAUGAGGAAGAGGAAAGAACAGAAAGGUAUAUGCAGAUCAUCAUUUUAUAAUAUUAAUCCGUAACAAUAAUAUCCGGAAGCGUAGCAUAACCGCUCAGAAAAUACAGAACGCUUUGUUGAUGUNNNNNNNNNNGAAUCAAGUUCUUUUUUUCAGUUUUGAAUGUGUGGGGGGGCAUGUCAACUAAUCAUGUAUUAGCUCUGCGCAUGUUCACCAGGGAGCAUACCACCACUUUUGUUGGAUCUCAGGCAUCUCUACUACCAGCACCUUUGUGCAUUCUGAUACCUUCCAUGCCAAAUUGUGAGACUAACGAGUACAAGGGAGAANNNNNNNNNNGUUAAAGUGUGGGUUGUUCAUUUUGUAAUAUUAAUCCGUAACAAUAAUAUCUGGAAGCGUAGCAUAACCGCUCAGAAAAUACAGAACGCUUUGUUGAUGUUGUUCCGUGGCACCUAGACCAGCGCUCAAAUCAAGUUUUUUUUUUCAGUUUUGAAGUGUGUGUGUGUGGGGGGGGGGCAUGUCAACUAAUCAUGUAUUAGCUCUGCGCACGUUCACCAGGGAGCAUACCACCACUUUUGUUGGAUCUCAGACAUCUCUACUACCAGCACCUUUGUGCAUCCUGAUACCUUCCAUGCCAAAUUGUGAGACUAACGAGUACAAGGGAGAACGAAUAAAGGGCGCGGCGCUAAUCCCUGAAAGGAAAAGGGUGGGGAGAUGGUCUGAGGAUGAGGACAAGCGCCUCCUGGUAUCUGGCAAGAUUUUUAGGUCUGGCAG